rfam:Astyanax mexicanus chromosome 20, whole genome shotgun sequence.
AUGAAGCACUGGUGUAUGUCGCUCUGGAUAAGGGCGUCUGCUAAAUGCUUUAAA